rnacentral:rRNA from 1 species
GAUGAACGCUAGCGGCAGGCCUAAUACAUGCAAGUCGAACGGUGUCUUCGGACAUAGUGGCGCACGGGUGCGUAACACGUAUGCAACCUACCUUACAUUGGGGGAUAGCCUUUCGAAAGGGAGAUUAAUACCGCAUAAGACAGUAGCUGGGCAUCCAGCAGCUGUUAAAGAUUUAUCGAUGUAAGCUGGGCAUGCGUCCAAUUAGCUAGUUGGUGAGGUAACGGCUCACCAAGGCUAGGAUUGGUAGGGGAACUGAGAGGUCAAUCCCCCACACGGGCACUGGGAUACGGGCCAGACUCCUACGGGAGGCGGCAGUAGGGAAUAUUGGGCAAUGGACGCAAGUCUGACCCAGCCAUGCCGCGUGCAGGAUGAAGGCGUUAUGCGUUGUAAACUGCUUUCAUACAGGAAGAAACGACUCUUGCGAGAGGCAUUGACGGUACUGUAUGAAUAAGCACCGGCUAACUCCGUGCCAGCAGCCGCCGUAACAC